UACGUAGGGGGCUAGCGUUGUCCGGAAUCAUUGGGCGUAAAGCGCGCGUAGGCGGCCCGGUAAGUCCGCUGUGAAAGUCCAGGGCUCAACCCUGGAAAGCCGGUGGAUACUGCCGGGCUAGAGUCCGGAAGAGGCGAGUGGAAUUCCUGGUGUAGCGGUGGAAUGCGCAGAUAUCAGGAGGAAUACCGAUGGCGAAGGCAGCUCGCUGGGACGGUACUGACGCUGAGGAGCGAAAGCGUGGGGAGCGAACAGG
rnacentral:rRNA from 1 species